CUUAAUAACCCGGGAAACUAUACAUUUCAAAUUUAAACAUUGGUAUUUCCCGGAUAUACGCAGUUCUGGUGUCACAUAGGCUACAUUGGAAAUAGCAUUCGCUUAUGACGGCGGCGGCUCCGGCAGAGCAAACAUUGGUUCAAACAGAAAACGGUAAAAAGAGAAAAAGGCAAAAAGAAGUAACACAUCAGCUGAACAAUGGAUGGUGGACUUAAUAAACGCCGCCUGAUUAAGACCGAUAUGGAGCUGGAGGUCCUGCGCUACACUACCCGCGUUUCCAGCGAAGCCCACAAAGAGAUAAGGACAUGUGAAACCUGGACUGAAAGAAUACAAAAUGGAAAGCCGCCUGAUUAAGACCGAUAUGGAGCUGGAGGUCCUGCGCUACACUACCCGCGUUUCUAGCCAAGCCCACAAAGAGGUAAAAUCCAGCUGGAGCAUAAACUGCUCAUUUUCCCUCCUCAUCUCAUUCUUGAAACAGUGAUCUAUGCAUCACAGAGGGUAUGUAUGAGGAUAGGACAUACAGUGACUUGAAUAUCAGAGCAGUAAAAAUGUAAGAAUAAUUUUAUAAAAUGCUGUCAUGCUGGUGAAAAAUUAAUGAUUUUAUCCUUGGCUAUGGCUGAACACUAAAUUUAGGAGUUUCUUUUUUUAUUUGCAAUUAAAAUGUGUACUACAAAAUGUGAAAUAAAAAAUACUUUUGUUCUGCCCUAUUGCAGCUACAUUGGAUCCAGACCUGAUAAAUAAUGGAAAUGUAUUCUAUGCACUACUGUACAUAAAAUGCAUAACAGAUCACUGUGCCUCUGUGUAUAUUAUUUACAGUUGAUCUGG